rnacentral:rRNA from 1 species
AAUCAACGCUGGCGGCGUGCCUCAGACAUGCAAGUCGAACGAUUAAAGCUCUCUUCGGAGAGUGCAUAGAGUGGCGCACGGGUGAGUAACACGUAAGUAAUCUACCUUCGAGUGGGGAAUAACGUCCGGAAACGGACGCUAAUACCGCAUAAUGCAGCGGCAUCGCAAGAUGACAGUUGUUAAAGAUUUAUCGCUUGAAGAGGAGCUUGCGGCAGAUUAGCUAGUUGGUAAGGUAAUGGCUUACCAAGGCUACGAUCUGUAACCGGUCUUAGGGGACGGUCGGUCACACUGACACUGAAUAACGGGUCAGACUCCUACGGGAGGAAGCGGUCGGGAAUUUUGGGCAAUGGGCGAAAGCCUGACCCAGCAACGCCGCGUGAAGGAUGAAGUAUUUCGGUAUGUAAACUUCGAAAGAAUGGGAAGAAUAAAUGACGGUACCAUUUAUAAGGUCCGGCUAACUACGUGCCAGCCGCCGCCGUAAGAC